CUUCUUAUGUUGCCCAGGUUGGUCUCAAAUUCCUAGGCUCAAGUGAUUCCGCCCACCUCUGCCUCCCAAAGUGCUGGGAUUACGGGCAUGAGCCAGCGCAUCUGGCCACCUUAUUUUCUAUUACUGGCUCAAUGUAAUGGCUCCAUCUCAGGAACAGCCAAUGAAAGAGAUGCACAGGACAAGAAACAGGACCUUGCCCUGUCACUAGGAUGGAGUUCAGUGGUCCUAUCAUGGCUCAUUAUAGCCUCAAACUCCCAGGCUCAAGCAAUCCUACCAUGUCAGCCUUCCCAGUAGCUGGGACUACAGGAAGUGAGCUCACAAUGACUCAAGCUGCCACAUACUGUUGAUUGUGAAAUGCCAGUUGAAGCAUAUGUCCUGCGAGCUUAGGGGUGCUACAAGUUGACCACUGCAGCAGUAAAGAUGACUCUGAAGAAUGGCGUGGGAUGGUUCCUUUCAAAUGCACUUGAGCAGCGGUCUCCAACCACAGGGCCACAGAGCUGGAGGUGGACAGUCUAGUUGCAGGAAAACAAGCUCAGAGAUCCCACUGAGUCUACGUUAUACUGGAUCUACCAUGAAAGACUUGUGAAUCCAGGAAGAGAGACUGACUGGGCAACAUGUUAUUCAGAAUCUCCCUGUGCCAUCCAGGCUGGAGUGCAGUGAUGUG